rnacentral:piRNA from 2 species
GCCCAUAACCCAGAGGUCGAUGG